rnacentral:snRNA from 1 species
GUGCUCGCUUCGGCAGCACAGAUACUAAAAUUGGAACGAUACAGAGAAGAUUAGCAUAGCCCUUGCGCAAGGAUGACACGCAAAUUCGUGAAGCGCUCCAUAUAUUU